UAAAAACGAAAAAAAAA
rnacentral:sRNA from 1 species